UCCCUGGUGGCUCAGAGGGUAAAGCGUCUGCCUGCAAUGCAGGAGACCUGGGUUCGAUCCCUGGGUCCGGAA
rfam:Ovis aries breed Texel chromosome 1, whole genome shotgun sequence.